CUUCGGGGGGCUCCAGUGGGGAAUAUUGGACAAUGGGGGAAACCCUGAUCCAGCAAUGCCGCGUGUGUGAAGAAGGCCUGCGGGUUGUAAAGCACUUUCGGUUGGGAGGACUGCUUCUAGCACUAAUAUUGUUGGAAGUUGACGUUACCUUCAGAAGAAGCACCGGCUAACUCCGUGCCAGCAGCCGCGGUAAUACGGAGAGGUGCAAGCGUUAAUCGGAAUUACUGGGCGUAAAGCGCGCGUAGGCGGCUAGAUCAGUCGGGUGUGAAAGCCCCGGGCUUAACCUGGGAACUGCAUCCGAUACUGUCUAGCUUGAGUACAGGAGAGGAGAGGGGAAUUCCACAUGUAGCGGUGAAAUGCGUAGAUAUGUGGAGGAACACCAAUGGCGAAGGCAGCUCUCUGGCCUGAUACUGACGCUGAGGUGCGAAAGCGUGGGGAGCAAACAGGAUUAGAUACCCCGGUAGUC
rnacentral:rRNA from 1 species